UACGUAGGGUGCAAGCGUUAAUCGGAAUUAUUGGGCGUAAAGGGUGCGUAGGCGGUUUGUUAAGACGGAUGUGAAAUCCCUGGGCUCAACCUGGGAACUGCAUACGUGACUGGCAGACUAGAGUCCGGAAGAGGAGAGUGGAAUUCCUGGUGUAGCGGUGAAAUGCGCAGAUAUCAGGAAGAACACCCGUGGCGAAGGCGGCUCUCUGGGACGGUACUGACGCUGAGACGCGAAAGCGUGGGGAGCGAACAGG
rnacentral:rRNA from 1 species